ACGUUAGCGGCGGACGGGUGAGUAACACGUGGGUAACCUACCUAUAAGACUGGGAUAACUUCGGGAAACCGGAGCUAAUACCGGAUAAUAUUUCGAACCGCAUGGUUCGAUAGUGAAAGGUGGUUUUGCUAUCACUUAUAGAUAGACCUGCGCCGUAUUAGCUAGUUGGUAAGGUAACGGCUUACCAAGGCGACGAUACGUAGCCGACCUGAGAGGGUGAUCGGCCACACUGGAACUGAGACACGGUCCAGACUCCUACGGGAGGCAGCAGCA
rnacentral:rRNA from 1 species